rnacentral:rRNA from 2 species
AAAUUGAAGAGUUUGAUCAUGGCUCAGAUUGAACGCUGGCGGCAGGCCUAACACAUGCAAGUCGAACGGUAACAGGAAGCAGCUUGCUGCUUCGCUGACGAGUGGCGGACGGGUGAGUAAUGUCUGGGAAACUGCCUGAUGGAGGGGGAUAACUACUGGAAACGGUAGCUAAUACCGCAUA